CUACGGGAGGCUGCAGUGGGGAAUAUUGGACAAUGGGCGAAAGCCUGAUCCAGCCAUGCCGCGUGUGUGAAGAAGGCCUUCGGGUUGUAAAGCACUUUCAGUGGGGAAGAAAGCCUUGGGGCUAAUACCCUCGAGGAAGGACAUCACCCACAGAAGAAGCACCGGCUAACUCCGUGCCAGCAGCCGCGGUAAUACGGAGGGUGCGAGCGUUAAUCGGAAUUACUGGGCGUAAAGCGCGCGUAGGCGGUCUGAUAAGCCGGUUGUGAAAGCCCCGGGCUCAACCUGGGAACGGCAUCCGGAACUGUCAGGCUAGAGGGCAGGAGAGGAAGGUAGAAUUCCCGGUGUAGCGGUGAAAUGCGUAGAGAUCGGGAGGAAUACCAGUGGCGAAGGCGGCCUUCUGGACUGACACUGACGCUGAGGUGCGAAAGCGUGGGUAGCAAACAGGAUUAGAUACCCCAGUAGUC
rnacentral:rRNA from 1 species